UACGUAGGGAGCAAGCGUUGUCCGGAAUCAUUGGGCGUAAAGCGCGCGUAGGUGGCCUCAUAAGUCCGCUGUGAAAGUCAAAGGCUCAACCUUUGAAAGCCGGUGGAUACUGUGAGGCUAGAGUACGGAAGAGGCGAGUGGAAUUCCUGGUGUAGCGGUGGAAUGCGCAGAUAUCAGGAGGAACGCCAAUAGCGAAGGCAGCUCGCUGGGACGUUACUGACACUGAGGCGCGAAAGCGUGGGGAGCGAACAGG
rnacentral:rRNA from 1 species